rnacentral:rRNA from 1 species
CCUACGGGAGGCAGCAGUAAGGAAUAUUGGACAAUGCUCGCAAGAGUGAUCCAGCCAUGCCGCGUGCAGGAAGAAUGCCCUAUGGGUAGUAAACUGCUUUUGAACUAGAGAAAACCCCAGUACGUGUACUGGGCUGAUAGUAUAGUUAGAAUAAGCAUCGGCUAACUUCGUGCCAGCAGCCGCGGUAAGACGAAGGAUGCAAGCGUUAUCCGGAUUCAUUGGGUUUAAAGGGAGCGUAGGUGGACUUAUAAGUCAGUGGUGAAAUCUCCGAGCUUAACUCGGAAAUUGCCAUUGAUACUGUAGGUCUUGAGUACAGUUGCUGUGGGCGGAAUAUGACAUGUAGUGGUGAAAUACAUAGAGAUGUCAUAGAACACCGAUUGCGAAGGCAGCUCACAAAGCUGUAACUGACACUGAGGCUCGAAAGUAGCGGGGAUCAAACAGGAUUAGAUACCCUGGUAGUCCGCACCGUAAACGAUGAUUACUCGCUGCUAGGGGGCAACCUUAGUGGCUUAGCGAAAGCGAUAAGUAAUCCACCUGGGGAGUACGCCGGCAACGGUGAAACUCAAAGAGUAGUAGACGNGNGAGNGCGACGGAGCACACGGAGGGUUAGG